AAUAAAUCUCAUCAUCUCCUCUUCCAUUAAAAAGAAAAACAAGGGUUUAGUCCUCUGCAAAGUUUGCUUCUGUUGAUUUGAAAUGGAGGGUUCUUCAAUGGAUUUUGUACAAUUGCUUGAUAGUGACUUAUCCUCUAAAACUCUGUCGAAUUUGGAUGAUCCAUCUGAUGUUGUUCGUGUUGCUUGUGUUUCGCAUUCCUGGCGCCAUUUUGUGAUUGCAAGGGGGUUCUCUAAGAUUGUUUCCAGAAACAUCAAGCGUUAUUACAGCCAUUGAAGAAUAGUAGAGCCUUUGGAGGUCGAGACUUCCGUUAGUGUGAAAGCGGAGAAGCUGAAGAAGAAUCAUCAAGUUUAUGCUUUGCUAGCACGAGGUCUAGCUCCUUUUUGACAAAACAUUGCAUUUUCGAGGCUAUAAGUCUAGCGCUGAUCAUUAUCCAGAAGAAAUGAUUCAGCUCACUUUGGAACCUAGUGAUAGGGUGUACGGGAAGCCUUCUUAGUGGUCAAGUAUGGGAGAGAGUAACCCGGAGGUGCCUCAGACAUUAACUUACAAAUUGGUAUCCAAGUUGUGUUUCGUUACUGAGAUCAACAUCCAACCGUUCCAAGUGUUUUUUCGAUGAUGAUUGUCCUGUAUGGACAUACACUUCAGAAAAGUUUCCAAUGGUUCAGUAAAAUUUGUUUGCGAAAGUUCAAGUUACCAGAACCUGUUCUUGCCAUUGGUGUACUUCUGUAGAUUGAACUGUUGGGAUGGGUGGUGCUUGCAAUUGAUGGCCUAUUCUACUUUUGGUUAGUAUUCAACUCUUUUGUUGUUAGUUAAAGAGGAACCACUCUUGUGUCUCAAAGAUUUAUCUGAUAUAAUACUUGACAUCCAUGGAUCUACUCUAGCACUUAUCGAGAUUAUAUUCAUCUCUUACUUGGCAGAGUUCGGUAACAAUGUUUCUAAUUCUUCCUAUUUGUCACUGGACUACAUUGUAGUUUUACUCACGUUCAAGUUGUAGGACGCCGACUCAGAGAUAAUUUUGUUGCUGAAAUAAUUAAUCACUCUAGGAAAUGCGUCUAGAAGUACAACCCAGAAAUAGCUUCCUGUAACAAUUGAAGCAUAUAACUAUCUCAAGUUUGUGCAUCAGAUAUGGUGUACUAAGAGUGUGUGAAAACUAUAUUUCUCUUUUUAUCUUUUAACACCUUUGUUAUCUCUGUGUCUGUAUCUUGGACAGAAUCAGGUGUUGAACUGUUUACUCUAAUAGUUUAUUACUAUCAGAACUCCAUGGAAAAUACCUUUAAUAAUAUUAUUAGGUAUUCAGAUCGCAAACAAAUACUUCGAAAAACAGUUUCAUUACAUUCGAUACUUUUCAAUCACUUUCCCAGUACAAUUUUUCCACAUAUCUUUUCGGAUAUGUGGAUGGAGCAGUUUAAC